AAACUGUAAGCAUUCAGAGUCGCCGCACUUUCCAAAAAACCUACAAGAUGAUCUUCAAAUUGUUUGUCAUUUGCGCACUGCUCGCAUUUGCCUUUGCUGCACCGGUUGCCAAUCCGGAUACGAUCCUGAUCGAUCAACCGUUGAUGAGAUCGAUUGUUGUUGAUGAUCCGUUCGCAUGGAGUUGGGCAUCGCCAUCGCACAUCUUUUUAAUUUAAGAUGACUGCAUUACGAUAGUGUUUUUCAUGCAAUGACUGUCUUUUACCAAAAUAGAUGAUUCACACUCA